rnacentral:rRNA from 1 species
AGAGUUUGAUCCUGGCUCAGGAUGAACGCUAGCGGCAGGCUUAACACAUGCAAGUCGAGGGGUAGAGCUAGCUUGCUAGCUUGAGACCGGCGCACGGGUGCGUAACGCGUAUGCAACCUACCUUGAACAGGGGGAUAGCCCAGAGAAAUUUGGAUUAAUACCCCAUGGUAUAUUUGAGUGGCAUCACUCGACUAUUAAAGUUCCAACGGUUCAAGAUGGGCAUGCGUCCCAUUAGCUAGAUGGUAAGGUAACGGCUUACCAUGGCAACGAUGGGUAGGGGUCCUGAGAGGGAGAUCCCCCACACUGGUACUGAGACACGGACCAGACUCCUACGGGAGGCAGCAGUGAGGAAUAUUGGUCAAUGGGCGCAAGCCUGAACCAGCCAUGCCGCGUGCAGGAUGGCGGUCCUAUGGAUUGUAAACUGCUUUUGUACGGGAAGAAACACUCCCUCGUGAGGGAGCUUGACGGUACCGUAAGAAUAAGGACCGGCUAACUCCGUGCCAGCAGCCGCGGUAAUACGGAGGGUCCAAGCGUUAUCCGGAAUCAUUGGGUUUAAAGGGUCCGUAGGCGGUCUUAUAAGUCAGUGGUGAAAUCCGGCAGCUCAACUGUCGAACUGCCAUUGAUACUGUAAGACUUGAAUUAUUAGGAAGUAACUAGAAUAUGUAGUGUAGCGGUGAAAUGCUUAGAUAUUACAUGGAAUACCAAUUGCGAAGGCAGGUUACUACUAAUGGAUUGACGCUGAUGGACGAAAGCGUGGGUAGCGAACAGGAUUAGAUACCCUGGUAGUCC